UACGGAGGGUGCAAGCGUUAAUCGGAAUUACUGGGCGUAAAGCGCACGCAGGCGGUUGGAUACGUUAGAUGUGAAAGCCCCGGGCUCAACCUGGGAACUGCAUUCGAAACUGGCAGGCUAGAGUCUUGUAGAGGGGGGUAGAAUUCCAGGUGUAGCGGUGAAAUGCGUAGAGAUCUGGAGGAAUACCGGUGGCGAAGGCGGCCCCCUGGACAAAGGCUGACGCUCAGGUGCGAAAGCGUGGGGAGCAAACAGG
rnacentral:rRNA from 1 species